rnacentral:lncRNA from 1 species
GCUUCCCCAUAUUCUUGGGUGCAUUUGUUAGCUCCUCUCUGAGGAUCAGUCAUUGGAUUUCUUUUCUGUUCUCAGCUAUUUACUGUUGUACUGGAAGAAAAGAAUGACAUUAACGCUAUGGCUCCUAAUUCCACUGUGAUUUCUUCAAAUCAUACCAGAGAAAAUGGUCAAAAAGUAUUGGUGAUGGCAAAAAUAAAUACUGCACAUAAGUAUGAUGAUAGAGAAAUGGCUGUAAAACUCUACCAGGCGUGAAGAUUCUUUGCUGGAUAAUGACCAGACCGUAAAAUUUGCAGGUAACAGGCAAAGGAAUUAGAGCUCCAUGGACCCAGGGUUGAAACAAAGCCCUGUUUAUGAGCACAAAAGAAAAUACAGACUGCCCUGCUGUGGGAUUAAACACUGAAGAUGACAAGAAAAUCAGCUGUCCCAGAAAACAUUAAAGUCCUUUUUGUAUGGUCAUUGACCACCCCCUGGUGAUGCAGAUUGGUUUAUAAAAGCAGAUGAUGACACUUUUAUGUUAUAGUAGCCAACCUAAGAUGGCUUCUGGAAAAUCAUGACACAGAGAAAGUUGUAUUUUUUUGGGUGAAGAUUCAGGCCCUAUGUAGAUAAGGGGUACAUGAGUGGAGGGGCAGGCUAUGUCUUGAGCAAAGAAGCCUUGAGGAGAGUGGUGAAGGCAGUAAAAAUGAUUGGGUAUGAACCUUUUACCUCCUCUGAAGAUGUCAAUCUAGGACCAUGUUUACAAGAGGUCAAAGUGAAACCAGGGGACUCCAGAGACCCUACUGGGGAAGAAAUUUUCACCCCUUAUUGUCAUAAAGUCGCUUAAUUUCAAGUUUGUAUCCCAAAUCCUUUUGAUACCACAAAUAUAAUUAUUACCCUCCCAUAUAUGGUCCUAACUGCUACUCUGAUUUUACAGUUUCUUUUCACUAUGUAGAUAUUAGAACAGUAUAUGAGUUGGAAUACUACCUAGUUUAUCAUCUCUGGCUUAUGGUUUUGAAUAUAGAUAUUAGCCUGCCUUACUUGAAAACCUACUAGAGAAAAGAAGCAAAGCAAAGCAAAAUGAUGAU